UGGGGAAUCUUCCGCAAUGGACGAAAGUCUGACGGAGCAACGCCGCGUGAGUGAUGACGGCCUUCGGGUUGUAAAGCUCUGUUAAUCGGGACGAAUGGUUCUUGUGCGAAUAGUGCAAGGAUUUGACGGUACCGGAAUAGAAAGCCACGGCUAACUACGUGCCAGCAGCCGCGGUAAUACGUAGGUGGCAAGCGUUGUCCGGAAUUAUUGGGCGUAAAGCGCGCGCAGGCGGAUUGGUCAGUCUGUCUUAAAAGUUCGGGGCUUAACCCCGUGAUGGGAUGGAAACUGCCAAUCUAGAGUAUCGGAGAGGAAAGUGGAAUUCCUAGUGUAGCGGUGAAAUGCGUAGAUAUUAGGAAGAACACCAGUGGCGAAGGCGACUUUCUGGACGAAAACUGACGCUGAGGCGCGAAAGCCAGGGGAGCGAACGGGA
rnacentral:rRNA from 1 species